GGCAACCACCGAAGCAGUAAUUAAAGAUGAAGAGCUAAAAGAGAGAAGAAUAGCAGCAACCUGGUCUCUUUUCACGGAACACAGUAAGCCACCAAAGAGGUGUGGACAGCCAGCGACCUCCACGGAAAUCAUGAAGAUGUCCUUUCUGUUCCUCACUGCCUUCUGCCACAGCCCCUGGUCGGCAAGUGACCAAUUAAAAGGACCAGCCUGUCAUUCAGGAACAAUUGACAGAGGUCUAAGAUGUGUGAGAGAGAAGACAAAGGAGGCAGAGAGAGAGAGAGAGGUGCUGGCCAGACUUGGUGACAAACAGGCCUGACACAGUGAAGACGAAGGACUGCAGGGUCUCAGCCUGGGAUUGUGAUGGGCUGGAGGAAGGUGCUGCUAGCAUUCAUGCUUUCUGCUGGCCCGCUCUUGGCUCUCCUGUGGAAUUCAGUCCUCUGCUUCCAGGACAAGCCCAGCCUGCACUUGGGGAUCCUUGGGUGACCGUUCAACCGUGAGUAUUUUUUUUGAAGCUCACUGAUUCUUGCUUAAAAACUUAUAAAUGGCAUUUCAUCAAAGGAAGAGCUUCAAAGAACUAUCUUUGCUGGUUGUCGUGUGUGUAACACAUUUCACAUUUACUAUGAAGAGGACUCUGUGUGUGAUCCUGACUACAGAAGCACACAUGACCUACAGAUAACCAUGGGAGCUAAGAAUUAAGAUUUUUUUGUUUGUUUUUAUAGCAUAUACAUAAAAAUGAAGUUGUAGUUUUAUUAUUUAAAGCGAAACGUGAGGUAGAUCCGUAAGAUGCACAUUUGAGGAAGUGACAUGUCUGUGUGCAGAGACUUGUGAUUCCUGGUGCUUUUCUUUCUCACCAGUGCUAGUAAAUAAACCUCAGAAGAGAACAAAGAAAGUGCUUUGGUCCCGUGUAAGAGCAGACUUAGAGAAGAUAGCCCUGAAGAUGUGUAUGCUACUCUCUGGGUUAGCUGUGCUGACUGCCUCCUCCUGAUCCCAUGUCCAGAUCAUAUCCUUAAUUAGUGUAAGGGAUGCUUGUUAGGUGACGGCUGUGGGCGUUCUUACUCUCCCACCAAGGGGCUGAGUAGAGGGUACAGUCUAUUGGGUCAUGUCUGUUUAGUAUACUGUUAUGUCCUAACGCUGCAGAGUUAGAGUUAUCAAUCUGUUCUAGAUUCUAGCCCUCCCUCCCCACCCCCCACCCCAAGAUGCUGAUAGAAGCCACGAAUCCUUUAACCACGUCAUUACACUUUUGCUUGCACAUGGAGGCAUCCACAGAAAUGGAGACCCCUCUCCAGAUGCAGCAGGUAUAGGAGGCUGGGUUGCACUCUCAGGGGGUUGGGGGGGGGGGGGCUUACCCUUCUGGGCAGUUAGACUUCCCAAAGAACUGCUGUUAAAAGCAGGAAACAGCCAGGCCAGAAGUCACUCCAUGUGGCUGCUGGGUGGAAAUACAGAGCCA
rnacentral:lncRNA from 1 species